rnacentral:rRNA from 1 species
UACGGAGGGUGCAAGCGUUAUCCGGAUUCACUGGGUUUAAAGGGUGCGUAGGUGGAUCGGUAAGUCCGUGGUGAAAUCCCCGAGCUUAACUCGGGAACUGCCGUGGAUACUAUCUAUCUUGAAUACCGUGGAGGUGAGCGGAAUAUGUCAUGUAGCGGUGAAAUGCUUAGAUAUGACAUAGAACACCAAUUGCGAAGGCAGCUCGCUACACGAAUAUUGACUCUGAGGCACGAAAGCGUGGGGAUCAAACAGG